rnacentral:rRNA from 1 species
AUUGAACGCUGGCGGCAGGCCUAACACAUGCAAGUCGAAUGGUAACAGGAAACAGCUUGCUGUUUCGCUGACGAGUGGCGGACGGGUGAGUAAUGUCUGGGAAACUGCCUGAUGGAGGGGGAUAACUACUGGAAACGGUAGCUAAUACCGCAUAACGUCGCAAGACCAAAGAGGGGGACCUUCGGGCCUCUUGCCAUCAGAUGUGCCCAGAUGGGAUUAGCUAGUAGGUGGGGUAACGGCUCACCUAGGCGACGAUCCCUAGCUGGUCUGAGAGGAUGACCAGCCACACUGGAACUGAGACACGGUCCAGACUCCUACGGGAGGCAGCAGUGGGGAAUAUUGCACAAUGGGCGCAAGCCUGAUGCAGCCAUGCCGCGUGUAUGAAGAAGGCCUUCGGGUGGUAAAGUACUUUCAGCGGGGAGGAAGGGAGUAAAGUUAAUACCUUUGCUCAUUGACGUUACCCGCAGAAGAAGCACCGGCUAACUCCGUG